CAACAACUCUAAUAUAAAGGGAGCUUCCAGCAGCCCUUUCCCCUUCAGCUCAAAGAGAGUCCUUAAGAACAUACGUCCCAUUAAUAGGAAGGAUAAAUAAGAAGCAAUUUAGGAGCAAAAAAAAGGCAAUUGUAUUUGUGCACAUAAAGGUGAGUAUUUGUUGUACAUUUUUAGAUUUCCUCCCUUCUUCUGACGGAAUUUUUGUUUUUGUUGGUCUUGAAACUGUCUUUGUCAUCCUUUCUUACUAUUUUCUUCUUCGCUCAGAUUUUCAUUUUCUUUGAAAAGUAAUAUUCCAUUUUUCUCCCCCUCCCCCUCUCCCUCCCACUUGCACUAUGGCUUUCUACAAUUUUCCUUUUCAAUCUUCUCCUCAUACAUUCUCUACCCACUCCCUCCUGCCUCUCCCACUUUCACCACACCUCGAGCGUCUCCAGCACAGCUCCAGCUCUCACAAAACAACAGCAAUCAUAUAACAAUUUACAACCAUUAGCCAAUUGAGUGUAACACCUCUCCACAAGGUAGGUAAUCAUUUACGAACACUGCUAAGCUACUGCUGUUUGGUGUGACAGAUUGUUCAGCUGCUUCUGCUCUCUCCAAGGGCCCCAGACAACAAUAGUAAGGCUGUGAAAGCACAGGGUUGGGAUGAACAGCUAGAGCAGUGUGUGAGGAACUACAGACAUCUGCUGAGCUCUGAACUGUCUUUUUACUCCUGGUUUAGUGAGCAUUAAAUGUGUUCUGUGCCUCUAUUGUCAAACUGGCUGCAUCUUGAGGGGAAAAAAAGGAGAAAAAGCAGACGAAAUGUCUGUGGCCCACUUAGAGCUCAUCAUGAAACACUUCAUAAAACAGCACGCAGCAACUGGUCUGUCUUCUUCGCCCUGCGACCACAACGCUGUAAUCAUGUAAGCUAGGCUGUGCUUAAGCAGGGAGAGGCCACUGUGUCUGCUGAAGGCAGGCAGUGAGGACACGAAGGGCACGAUGCUACGUGGGGGCUGCCAACCUGAAAUGCUGUGUGGCAUUUUUCCUAACGGUAGGUUUAUGGUCUUUAACCUAAAUUAAUUAAGACACGGAACAUUAAUGAAGGAGCAGGUUGCUUCUGAAACAACUAACCCACUUCAAAGUGCUGAAACCAUAUCCUUAAUGGGGAACAAAGAAGUGAAAACAGAGUCAAAACAGACCAUGUCUGCGUGUUGUUCUCAACCCAUUCAUCUCCCACACGGGCUGAGCUGUGGUGGCAUUUUUAAAAUGGCAGUGUAACAUCUGCCAUCCAAAAGGGGAAUUGGGGUGUGUGGGAGGAACACGGUUUAUUCAAGAGCCACUGCUCUCCUUUUGAAGGAGAAGAUGAGCCAGAUGUACUUUUUUCUUCCCCCCUCAAGUCCUGGUCAUGUUCCCACUGACUCCAGUUGAUGCAGGAUAUCCCCCUUUACUCUCUUUUUUCUUUCUUUCACCACAACCCCAGUUAACUACUCUGUUCCUGUCAGUUCUAGUUGCCAUGUGAAUGAUGUAUUUGAUACUGUUUAUUAUGUAAGAUUCUGAACAGAUCAUUCCUGCUUCUGGCACGCAGGGGGAAGACAUACAAGCCAGAGGGCUGCAAAGCACACGGACUCACUGUGGAGCAGAGCUUCCAGAUGUGCCAUCCCUGCAGGUAUUUGUGAAUCGUGCUCCACGUCCAUCUGAACCUUUAGGCACAUAUUGUAUUUUUUGUCUGCAGUCAUGAGCCUGAAUCAAAGAGGCCCACAAAACAAAACAAAACAAAAACACAUAUUCUGAAAGGAGCCUACAGCGUGGAGGUUUUAACGGAAGAAGCUACUGCCAACCUUACUGAGCUGUAGUUGCAGUAGAAAGGGAACGCGAGAAACAGG